UCGAUGAAUAUUCUAGAAAUCGUUUAUAAAAUAAAUAUGUGUCUACGUUAAUAUUAAUGCCAAGUGUAAAUUUAAUGUUUCCAUAACAAUAUUUCGGCCAUCAAGAUCCACAAUUCUCAACAUUGUUAUAAAUGAUUCUACUUAAAAAAAUUGCAGCAGACUUCUAAUUGGAAUUCUCGCAUGAAAACCGCUACUCCUACGAAAGUAUGUCAUUUUCUCUUCGUAAAAUCACACCUAUUGUAGAAUCGUGGAGAAAUGGCAUAAGAAAUGUCGGGUGGACCAUAAACAAUAUUGCGAGAAGGGGCCCGGGAGUUGUUACCGGGUGGUUCUUAUCUGGCAGUCGUUAUCUGGAGAGUCGAGUGGUGGGGAGUCGAGUUGUACGAGUCGCGAAUGGAGAAUCCAGUUGUGAAGAGUCAAGUUGUGAGUGGAGAGUCGAGUGGACUAGUCGUAAGUGGGGAGUCGAGUUGCGAGAUUGGAGUGGAAUAGUCGUGAGUGGGGAGUCGAAUGAGAGGAGUCAAAUUGAGUAGUCGUGAGUUGAGAGUUGAGUUGCCGAGUUAUUACGAGUUGUAAGCUAUUAGUUGUGAGUUGUAAAUUAACUAUUUAGUUGUCUUAGCUCUUUAUAUUGUUUGUUACGAAGAGUGAAGUGUUACACUUUGAAAUAAAGAUGAAAUAUUUAUGCUCAAAUUCAUCCGAAACUAUGGUUCUGGCCACGUCUUCGACGUUUGUUCAGAUUCGACGAUCGUGGCACAAGUAUUAUAAUCUCGUAAAUUUAGAAGCUGUAAAAAACUGGAUUUGGAAAUUUGUUUAAUUAAUUCAUACAUUCUGUAAAAAAGCAAAAGAACGAGAGGCCAUUUAACCACCUGCGAUUUAUAAAAACUUUAGACCAGUUGAGAGGAGAUAUUUGACAACCGCAAGAUCGAGCUUCCACAUCGACUGCUAAUUGUGAUGAAAUUCGGUUAAAUGGAAAGCUGCAUGUAAUUUUAACAGGAAGAAAAAAGUAUUUUAAGGUGUGUUCCUACCAAAACAAAGCAGGAGAAAGACGCGAAACAACUUAUGCAGAUGUUUUAUAAAUUAUCGUAAAAAAAAAUACAGAAAAGAUAUUAAAAAGUGAUAUGUUCAAAGAUGUAAAUAUAUAUAGAUUAUUAAAAUAUAAAUUAAUUUUUAAAUUAAUUUUUGUGUAAAAUCAUUUUAUAUUACCCACAGGACGCUCGUCACAUACGCGCAAAAUCACCUCGAGUUGCUGCUACACGCAACCGAAAAGGCUGUCGAGUGCAAACGGUUAAUUCUUCCAUGCAAUUUACG